rnacentral:rRNA from 1 species
UACGUAGGUGGCAAGCGUUGUCCGGAUUUAUUGGGUUUAAAGGGUGCGUAGGCGGUCUUUUAAGUCAGUGCUGAAAUACUCCAGCUUAACUGGAGGGGUGGCAUUGAUACUGGAAGACUUGAGUGCAGUCGAAGUAGGCGGAAUUGACGGUGUAGCGGUGAAAUGCUUAGAUAUCGUCAAGAACACCGAUAGUGAAGACAGCUUACUAGGCUGCAACUGACGCUGAGGCACGAAAGUGUGGGAUCAAACAGG